GGAGCAACGCCGCGUGAGUGAUGAAGGUUUUCGGAUCGUAAAGCUCUGUUGUUAGGGAAGAACAAGUGCAAGAGUAACUGCUUGCACCUUGACGGUACCUAACCAGAAAGCCACGGCUAACUACGUGCCAGCAGCCGCGGUAAUACGUAGGUGGCAAGCGUUGUCCGGAAUUAUUGGGCGUAAAGGGCUCGCAGGCGGUUUCUUAAGUCUGAUGUGAAAGCCCCCGGCUCAACCGGGGAGGGUCAUUGGAAACUGGGAAACUUGAGUGCAGAAGAGGAGAGUGGAAUUCCACGUGUAGCGGUGAAAUGCGUAGAGAUGUGGAGGAACACCAGUGGCGAAGGCGACUCUCUGGUCUGUAACUGACGCUGAGGAGCGAAAGCGUGGGGAGCGAACAGGAUUAGAUACCCUGGUAGUCCACGCCGUAAACGAUGAGUGCUAAGUGUUAGGGGGUUUCCGCCCCUUAGUGCUGCAGCUAACGCAUUAAGCACUCCGCCUGGGGAGUACGGUCGCAAGACUGAAACUCAAAGGAAUUGACGGGGGCCCGCACAAGCGGUGGAGCAUGUGGUUUAAUUCGAAGCAACGCGAAGAACCUUACCAGGUCUUGACAUCCUCUGACAACCCUAGAGAUAGGGCUUUCC
rnacentral:rRNA from 2 species